rnacentral:lncRNA from 1 species
GGGACGACAUCAAAAGAUCGAUGUAGGAUAAAAAACUUAAAUCAAAUAGUUUGGGGUGGGGGUCAACAUGGCUGCAAGUUUUGUUAAUCCAAAAUCGAUUUUACAUAUGUCCAUAUAGGUAAAUCAUUUUUUCUUAAAUUAAGUUAAGAGGGGGGGGGGUCAUUGAAAAAUACUAUGUGAAUUAAGUUUUUUAUCCUACAUUGAACUUUUGAUGUCGUCCCU